rnacentral:rRNA from 1 species
UACGAAGGGGGCUAGCGUUGCUCGGAUUGACUGGGCGUAAAGGGCGCGUAGGCGGUUCGUACAGUCAGACGUGAAAUUCCUGGGCUCAACCUGGGGGCUGCGUUUGAUACGUGCGGGCUUGAGUGCGGAAGAGGGUCGUGGAAUUCCCAGUGUAGAGGUGAAAUUCGUAGAUAUCGGGAGGAACACCAGUGGCGAAGGCGGCGACCUGGGCCAAUAUUGACGCUGAGGUGCGAAAGCGUGGGGAGCAAACAGGAUUGAGAAACCCCAGU